rnacentral:lncRNA from 1 species
UGAGCCAAAACCUCACAAAAUUGCUCAAGAUAUAGCUCAAGAGACAAACACUAGUAAAUCGGUUUACUUACUACCCUUAGAUUGCAUGUGCUGACUUCAAAAUCCAAUAACUCCUUCAUCCCAACUUAGAAUCCAGUAAGCAGUAUGUGCAAAGUAUAGCUGCAAAAGUGCUCUCUUCAGUCGCAGUCUCCGAUCCUCAAUUGCCGUCUAUACGUGUGUGUCAUGCCCAAAAGAGUGACAGUAGGUCCAAAACUAACACCUUA